UCAUCCAAUUUGGACAGGUGUCA
rnacentral:siRNA from 1 species